UUAAGUUCAGCGGGUAUCCCUACCUGAUCCGAGGUCAAUCAUAGAAAAUAUGGGGGUUACGGCAGAAGAUUUCUCGCUUCCUUCAGUGACAUAAGUUAUUACUACACUUGGGAGAGCAAGGGUCUUCGCCAUUGAAUUUCGAAGAGGAUUCCAAUAAAUUGGCUUCCAUCUCCAAGACAAGCAAUAGGUAAACCUAAGCU
rnacentral:misc_RNA from 2 species